UACGGGGGGGGCAAGCGUUGUUCGGAAUUACUGGGCGUAAAGGGCUCGUAGGCGGCCAACUAAGUCAGACGUGAAAUCCCUCGGCUUAACCGGGGAACUGCGUCUGAUACUGGUUGGCUUGAGUUUGGGAGAGGGAUGCGGAAUUCCAGGUGUAGCGGUGAAAUGCGUAGAUAUCUGGAGGAAUACCGGUGGCGAAGGCGGCAUCCUGGACCGACAUUGACGCUGAGGAGCGAAAGCUAGGGGAGCAAACGGG
rnacentral:rRNA from 1 species